GACGAACGCUGGCGGCGUGCCUAACACAUGCAAGUCGAGCGGAGUCGAUCGACGGAAGCCUUCGGGCGGAAGAUGGUUGACUUAGCGGCGGAUGGGUGAGUAACGCGUGGGCAACCUGCCUCGAAGACCGGGAUAACAGCCCGAAAGGGCUGCUAAUACCGGAUGUGGUCAAGGAUCCGCAUGGAUUUUUGAUUAAAGGGGAAACCCGUUUCGAGAUGGGCCCGCGUCCUAUCAGCUAGUUGGUGAGGUAAAAGCUCACCAAGGCGACGACGGGUAGCCGGCCUGAGAGGGUGACCGGCCACACUGGAACUGAGACACGGUCCAGACUCCUACGGGGGGCAGCAGUGGGGAAUCUUCCACAAUGGGCGAAAGCCUGAUGGAGCGACGCCGCGUGAGCGAAGAAGGCCUCGGUUGUAAAGCUCUGUCUGAGGGACGAAGGAAGUGACGGUACCUCCGGAGGAAGCCACGGCUAACUACGUGCCAGCAGCCGCGGUAAGUCACGAGAGUA
rnacentral:rRNA from 1 species